GAAGAAUCUGUUCCCUUCGUGGACAGUAACAGAAAGAGAGGUGGUGGCCAGCUCAUAUACAAGGAGGAUUGGUUCAGCAUGGAGUCCCCUUAUUUUCUGCCUCUGCUUGCAUCUCUACAGAUAUUUUUCCUGCGUGGGUCACCUGCAGACCUCCCUGCACCCCCCAACAUCUUUGUGAGCCCAGAGAAAAUGGAGUAUCUCAUUGGAGACACUGUCUCCUUCCGAUGUGUGGCUCCCCCUUCAAAGGACAAGAUACAGGGCUUUCAGUUCUCAGGAACAACUGGAUGGGCCGUGGACAUUCGGACCUUCAGGAAAGCCUACACCUACACCUUCAACAUCACAGGACCGAAGGACGGUGGGUCACAUACAUGCAGAUACACUAUAAUAGAUCGGCUCCUUAGACCAGUCCGGUCUAAGGAAAGCAAAGUGAUCAUCAUCAGUGUCAAAGACCCUCCACCCCAUCCCACACUUUCUUUGAACACUUCCAGUGGAGUUGUGAGUGAGGGCUACCCCCUCCUCUUCAUCUGCACGGCUCCUGGAAACACAGUGGAGCAUAGGUUUCACUUCUACAAAGAAGGAGCUGAGGUCAUCCCUGGAUCUGAGGUCAACUCAUCAGAGACGAGUGCUCAACUCUGCAUCCCACAGAGCAGUCAAAAUCACACGGGGAAUUUUACUUGUGCCUAUGAGGAGAAAGUGGAGGGACGGUGGAUCCUGUCCUUUGCGAGCAGUGUUGUGACUGUCUUUGUGAAAGAGCCUCCUUUUGCUCCUGAACUGGGAGUGGAUCCUUCCUCUGCUGUGGUGACUGAAGGCUACCCCUUACGUUUCACCUGCAUUGCCUUCACGGAUGACUCAAGGCUGAGAUUUCACUUCUACAGGGAUGGGGUUGAGAUCCCACCAGGACAGGCAGGCUCAGAGACCACUGCCAUGAACCCUGGGAAUUUCACUGAGCUCCUGUUCCCGCAUACUCCAAGGAGGUUCAGUGGGAAAUUCACUUGUGGAUUUGAGGAGGAUGUGGGCGGGACGUGGGUGCUAUCACCCCAGAGUAAGGUUCUGGAGGUCACUGUGAAAGAUACCCCUGCUCAGCCAGAUCUGAUCUUGAACCCCCCAUCUGGAGAAGUGAGGGAAGGGGAGCCCUUACUUAUCACUUGUGUAGCCUACGGCACUAGUGGCGAAUGGAAGUUUUACUUCUAUAAAGACGGGACUGAACAAUUCUCAGAGGCUUGCACAAGGAACCGCUCUUUCUUCAGCAUCCCAGCAGCUGAACCAACUGUGACAGGGCAAUUCACCUGCAGGUACGAGGAGAGAGUCAGUGGCAAGUGGAUCCCAUCACCCUUGAGCCAGGCAAUGAUGGUCACCAUGCAAGCUUCGUCUCUACACAUCCCAUUGGUGACUGGAUGUGCAGCUGCUGCAGCUGCUCUGGUCCUGGUGUUGCUGCUGGCUGCCUAUAUCUGCCAGAGGAGGAGAGGCCAUGUUCACUGGAAGGGGCUCCACAACAAAGAUGACACAAGCGCUUAUCCUCUGGCCCUGGUCAGUUAAACUGGUAUUUCAUCUCAGGACUGCUUGGCCCAUGUCUUUGCUCAAAAAAUGCACUCAUUUUCAGCCUUUUCUCCACCUCAGUGAACCAAAAAGGAAGACAACAAAAGUAAAGAAAAGGAUUGUUUCUAUUCUUCUUCGCUUUGAACGUUCAAGCCAGAGUUCACUUUGUUAAUGCCCCUGUCCAGCUGGUCAGUAAAUCUCUCUUCAAGUCCACCAAUGUUUCUUUCUCUCAUUCUCUUCCGUCAUCUUUCUGAGCCUGAUAGAAAUGGGGAAGUUGGUCCCAGGGCACACAAAAAGGUUGGUCUUG
rnacentral:lncRNA from 1 species